rnacentral:ncRNA from 1 species
CAAAUUGGUGCCAAAAACCGCGCAAGAUUUGCUGGCAUAAUGUAACAGCAGCAAGUUUUGUUACAUAUUUGCUGUCAUUUUGCGAACAUCGAUUUAGUUGUCGGAUUUGUCGCCUUUUUGUUGAGAAAAUUUGUUGCAGACGCUUGACGAAAUUUGCUUUUGUCAGAUUUGGCUAACAGGGUAUAUAUAUAUAAUUAAUAAUAAUAAUAAUAAAUUUAGUGCCAGCAAUUGCGGUUAGACUAAGGUUAUAAAUAAAUUUAAUUAUAAUUAAAAAUUAAGUAGUUAUUUAUAAGUAAAAUUUAUUAUAUUAUACUUAUUUUAUAUGGUGAAAUAUUUAAAAUAAAGAUAAUAUAUUUAAAAAUUAUUAAAUGAAAUUUAUGAAAUUAGUUAUAAAAUUAGGAUUAGAUACCCUAUUAUUAUAAUUAAAAAUUAAUUAAUAAAAAAGUAAAUGUGAAACAUUAAAUUUAAAUAGUUUGGCGGUAUUUUAAAUAGUUAGAGGAAUUUGUUAGUUAAAUGAUACUCCACGAGUGGAAUGUCCUAGAAAAUUUUUAUGUAUUGUUGUAUAAAAAUUAUUUUAUAAGAAUUUAUGAUUGAAAAAUUUAAUUUAAUUUGAAUUCAAAUCAAAAUGUAGAAUAUUUAGGUUUAAAUGAAUUACAGUUUAUUUAAGUAAUGGAUUUAUUUUUUGAAUUAAAAUAAGGAAAUAGGAUUUAAAAGUAAAUUUAUAGACAUAUAUAAAUUGAAAUAUAACUUAAAAUAUGUACAAAUUGCCCGUCAUUUUCAUGAAUAGUUAAUUGAAAGAAGUCGUAACAAAGUAAAUGUACAGGAAUGUGUAUUUAGAUUAGU